UUUCAUCAACAUUUUUUAUGGACAAAAAUAUGGUUAAUCAUCAAGGUGGAACUUAGACCUCCCACUGCAGUUGAGACUUCCAAGAAACCCAUAUCCUUUGCGAUUCAGUUAGAAAUAUAUUAUUAAAAAAAAGUAAAAACCCAUGUCCUUUGUUGUAUCCUUAUACGUCCUUCCAACAAUUUAACAUGCAGAAUGGUUUUGGUCCCGAGAAUGUGUGCUUGUAGUUGGUUAUCAACUUUUUUUAAAUUUGUAGUGCAAAAUUGUUGUUUAUGUUGGCAAGUACAAGUUAUUUUAGUUAGUUACCGACAUUUAGUCAUGAAAAGUAAAAUUUGGUCUCAUUUUGCCCCUCAAAUAGUGACGUGGAAGAAAAACAAAGUAAGGCAAAAUUGUGUUUUCCCACACCAUCUUCCUUUCUUAUCUAUAUAUAUCUUUGUAAAGGAAACCUGAGUUGUUCUCAUAAAAACUUUAUCUAUAGAUUAUUUUCACUACACCGAAAACUUAGUCAUAUAGAUUAUUUUAGCUACACCAAAACCUUAGUCAUGAAUCCGCACCUAUGAAGACUUUCCUUAUUGGCAAUUAUCUUAUGAAUGAUUAGUUAGCAACCAAUUGAAAUAUAUUUACAAGAUUUUUAAGACUUUGAUGUCGUGGAGCAGUCAAUUUCUCUUCAUAUAUAUAUAUACACGUGGUUAUCGGUGUAAUGCAUAUUUCCAUUGAGUUCGAGGAGAGCUCUGAUUCUAACUAAUGAAAUAAAAGUCAAAGCCAUGAUGCAAUUUGUAAAUGAGCCUGUAAAUAACGGUCAACUUUAUGGUGUAUAAGUGAGAUAUGUCUUGCAUCAUGUACAAACUAAUAUUUACUAUUGGAUCAAUAAAUCUCAUCAUUAAAUUAAAAAGAAAUAUGAUGUGACUUGUUGAUCCAAUGAUAAAAAGAACACUUGUAUAUGAUGUAAAAUCAUUUUACUCGUACAUAUAUUAGACAUAGCCAUAAGUACAACUCGGAUAUCUUCUAGUCAUAGCAUUUAAUAAGAAAGGAUUCUUACUCUUUUUGAUAUAAAACUACAAAGAUUUUUUAAUAUUCUGCUAUCAACUUAUGAGAAGGACUCCAUGAGAUGUAAAUAUAUAAAUAACUAGGGUGUAAUUGAAAAGGUUUAAGAGAAAAAAUUAAAAGGUUUAAAAAUAAAAUUUGAAGAAAAAAAUUAAUACAUUUGUUACCUCAUGUAAGGACAAUCCAUGUCAAACCUCGAUACCAUGGGAAUAAUACAAUCAUUUAGAAGUGGAGCAAUAACACGUAUUGUUCUUGAAUACUGUCAAAUCGCCCCCUAUGAUUUAAAAGCAACAUAUGAUUUCGCAAAACAAAGACAACCAUAGACUAUGGCCACUAAAGCCUUCACUUUAGGCCUAUCAGCAAAAGAAAAAAAAAUGCUCCAUUAAAAUUUAUAAGUGAAAAUGCCACAUAUGCAAACAAG
rnacentral:lncRNA from 1 species